rnacentral:lncRNA from 1 species
UUUUUUUUUUCUUUUUUUUUUAGGGCUGCACCUGCAACAUGUGGAAGUUCCCAGACUAGGUGCUGAAUCGGAGCUGCAGCUGCUGGGUGACACCACAGCCACAGCCACACCAAAUCCAAGCCACAUCUGCAACCUAUACCACAGUUUGUGGCAAGGCCAGAUCCUUAACCCACUGAGCGAGGCCAGGGAUCGAACCCACAUCCUCAUGGAUAUUAGCUGGGUUCUUAAUGCGCUCAGCCACAAGGGGAACACCCCCCCACGACUGUACUAGCCAGGAUUUGCCUUCUCCUCCCAAGAAUCAAUGUUCGCCCCGACUAAGAAUGUGUGUCAUGAAGGGAUUAUGAGAAGCCUGGGCUGUUGAAGCAACAAGCAUGGACCUGGCUGUGCUAGCUGGUGGACGCCUGCCAUCUGUGGCCCACCCUUGUCCUCCAAGGCUGGGGGUGCCCCUUCUGGGCCCUGCCUGCCCCUCCUGCAUCAGAACGCUGUGUACCCAACAGGCACUCGGCAGGAUAACAGGGUGUGGAGACAACGGUUCUGGUCCCUGGCGCUUUCAGAACCAAAACAGGGUUUCAUCUGUCCAACAUAAAGCAGCAGCCGACGGGCCAGAACAAAGACUGUCAGUGCAGGGGACACGAGGGCUGGAGCCUCGGGGUCAGCUUCCUGCAGGGGCAGCGCUUGCUGGGGUCGGGGGGCCCACUGGGGCUGAAUGCGUUGAUGUCCACAAGCAGAAGCAGCAGGGGCAGGGGACAAUGCCAACCAUCCACAGUGACACGACCCCGUACAGCCAAGCGGCCCGACAUCUUCCAGAAGUAAGUGGCUUCCGGAAGCAGUCACUGAGUUGGACUAAAUCCGACCACGUGUCAGAAGCAGACAAGUUCGUCUGCAAUUUCCCUGCUUCAUUAUCAGCAGCUGCAAGAGACCCAGACAGGCUUCAGCUCCGUCUCAAAUGUCCGCUCAAUAAACCUCUGAGCAGGGUUUCACACCCUGGCCCCACGGACCGGAUGCACGGCUUCCCCGAAACUCACAGCCCUCUUUACUUCUUCUUCUUAUAGUUGCCAGACAGUGUUCUGUCCAUUUCCGCCGUGCAGCAAAGGGACCCAGUCGUGCACACACGCGUAGGUGUGUGUAUAUACGCAUACACCCUUUUUCUCACAUUAUCCCCCAUCGUGUCCCAUCACAAGUCCCAGCCUCUGAAUAACCAUCCCUUUCCUUUGAGAGCAGAACGCUCACACUCAGCUGCACAGCCGCGUGAGGCUGUGCCGCACGGGCGGCGGGCAUACACUUCAACUAUGUUCACCCCGACCAGGAAGCGAGGGUCAAAGUGAAGUCAACCAACAGCACUGUUGUUAACGAGCCCUUUGAACCGAGGCGGGCCCUUCAGGGCGGCUCGGGGCGUGUCCACGGCUGAGCGUCUCACCUUCCCAAGGAGCCUGAGAUGCAAACAGGGAAAUGGCGAGAAGCAGGGUCUGAGAGAGGAGGCUGGGAGAGAGGCCCCCUCCCGCACGGCCCAGGGUGUAAAAGAUACAGCCGUCUGCUGAAAGGACUGCUGACCUCACUAGAAUGUUUUUUAACUCAAGCCAGAAUGUUUCAACUGUGGAAAACCUCCACGCACAGAACACGGGACCGUUGCGAAGAUGCUAAUGUGACCCCCAGACCGGUCAGAACCAGGAGGAAACAAAGCAAUUCUGAAACCUGAGACAAAAGGUUCCCCUGGAGGCAACGUUCCAGCAGGAAGGCAGAUUUUCCCGGUUAAUCAACCAGAAAUGCAAGUUUGACAGCAGUGCACGGUGGGAGGCGUCCGGCAGGCAGGCUGUUGCACCUCCAACCAGCCAGGCACCUGCGGUCCCACUGUGGGGAUGGGGGCGACCAACCCGCCCGCCUUGGGGUGGCUUCACUGUAAAACCAAGAGGGCAAAGGGCAUGGGCGGUCGCCCCCACGUCUGAGAGCCUGGCUUCCACGAGCGAAGCCUGCUUCCAGCCCCACUGACCGUGAGAAGGAUCCUGCUUCUACCCCAAGGAGGUUGGUCAAGUCCCGAGCGUUCUUCCUUCUAAAACCUUCCUGACAGAAACUGAACACAGACCCCUCCGGAGGGAAGGGCACUCCCUGGGGACCUCGGGACCUUGUGGGCAAGGCUGGGUGGCACACAUACCUCCCUCCCACCGUCCCUGCACGGUUUUCACAAAGGCUGCCUGCACCCUGUCCUGCCCAGCACCCGACGUAGCACGGGACUGGCAAUGUCUGCCACACACCUGCAUCCAGCUCCCGAAACUGUGAGACCCACAUCUGAGUCAUCAGGCAUCCCCGAAAGGUGUCUGUUCACAAGCUAAACAUGUGCUAAGCAUCCGAACCUCUUCAAGGCUGGCCUUAUAAAAAUGUCGCACACACACACCCCUCACUCUGUGUUCCCACAUGCUUCCUUGAAUGGGGCUGCGGGAUGAACAGCCCGCACAGGAGGAACAGGGCAUGGCCUGAACCAGCCUAAUUCAGGCCGCCGGAGUGCCAGGAGGUGGGGG